ACGGGUGAGUAACACGUAGGUAACCUGCCUAUGAGACUGGGAUAACUAUCGGAAACGAUAGCUAAGACCGGAUAACUGGUUUUCUCGCAUGAGAGAAUCAUGAAACACGGAGCGAUCUGUGGCUUAUAGAUGGGCCUGCGGCGCAUUAGCUAGUUGGUAGGGUAAUGGCCUACCAAGGCGACGAUGCGUAGCCGACCUGAGAGGGUGACCGGCCACACUGGGACUGAGACACGGCCCAGACUCCUACGGGAGGCAGCAGUAGGGAAUCUUCCGCAAUGGACGCAAGUCUGACGGAGCAACGCCGCGUGAGUGAUGAAGGUUUUCGGAUCGUAAAGCUCUGUUGCCCUAGACGAACAGCAUGAGGAGUAACUGCCUUAUGUGUGACGGUAUAGGAGAAGAAAGCCCCGGCUAACUACGUGCCAGCAGCCGCGGUAAUACGUAGGGGGCAAGCGUUGUCCGGAAUUAUUGGGCGUAAAGCGCGCGCAGGCGGUUAAUUAAGUUGGGUGUUUAAGCCCGGGGCUCAACCCCGGUUCGCAUCCAAAACUGGUUGACUUGAGUGUAGGAGAGGAAAGUGGAAUUCCACGUGU
rnacentral:rRNA from 1 species